AGGGUGCUAGCUCAAUGGAAGAGCACCCGCCUUACAAGCACGAGGUUGGUGGUUCGAUUCCUCCGUGCCCUA
rfam:Picea glauca, whole genome shotgun sequence.